UACAGAGGGAGCAAGCGUUGUUCGGAAUUACUGGGCGUAAAGGGCUCGUAGGCGGCCAACUAAGUCAUACGUGAAAUCCCUCAGCUUAACUGGGGAACUGCGUGUGAUACUGGAUGGCUUGAAUCCGGGAGAGGGAUGCGGAAUUCCAGGUGUAGCGGUGAAAUGCGUAGAUAUCUGGAGGAACACCGGUGGCGAAGGCGGCAUCCUGGACCCAACACUGACACUGAGGAGC
rnacentral:rRNA from 1 species